rnacentral:rRNA from 1 species
AUUGAACACUGGCGGCAGGCCUAACACAUGCAAGUCGGACGAGUGGCGGACAGGUGAGUAAUCUCUGUGACACUGACCGAUGGAAGGGGAUCACUACUGGACACGAUAGCUACUACCGCAUACCAUCGGAUGUGCCCAGCUGGGAUUAGAUAGUAGGUGGGGUAACGGCUCACCUAGGCGACGAUCCCUAGCUGGUCUGAGAGGAUGACCAGCCACCCUGGAACUGAGACACGGUCUAGACUCCUACGUGAGGCAGCAGUGUGGAAUAUGCCACAAUGGGCGCAAGCCUGAUGCAGCCAUGCCGCGCGUAUGAAGUAGGCCUUCGGGGGGCAAAUGAAUUUCAGCGAGGAGUCGUUACUCGCAGAAGAAGCACCGGCUAACGCCGUGCCAGCAGCCGCGGUAAUAC